GGAGAUGUAGUUGAAUUAAAACAACAUUGAUUUGUUAAGUCAGGGGUGAAAUUGUCCAUCUUCG
rnacentral:tRNA from 1 species